rnacentral:rRNA from 1 species
UACGUAGGGUGCAAGCGUUAAUCGGAAUUACUGGGCGUAAGCGUGCGCAGGCGGUUUGUAAGUCUGUCGUGAAAGCCCCGGGCUCAACCUGGGAAUUGCGAUGGAGACUGCAAGGCUUGAAUCUGGCAGAGGGGGGUAGAAUUCCACGUGUAGCAGUGAAAUGCGUAGAGAUGUGGAGGAACACCGAUGGCGAAGGCAGCCCCCUGGGUCAAGAUUGACGCUCAUGCACGAAAGCGUGGGGAGCAACCAGG